rnacentral:rRNA from 1 species
UACGGAGGGUGCAAGCGUUAAUCGGAAUUACUGGGCGUAAAGCGCGUGUAGGCGGUUGUUUAAGUUGGAUGUGAAAUCCCCGGGCUUAACCUGGGAACUGCAUUCAAUACUGGGCAACUGGAGUCUGAGAGAGGAGGGUGGAAUUUCCGGUGUAGCAGUGAAAUGCGUAGAGAUCGGAAGGAACACCAGUGGCGAAGGCGGCCCUCUGGCUCAAGACUGACGCUGAGACGCGAAAGCGUGGGGAGCAAACAGG